AAGUCGUAACAAGGUUUCCGUAGGUGAACCUGCGGAAGGAUCAUUAAAAUAUUGAUAAAACACUGCUUUUGGAACUAAACACAUAAAACCUUUUUUUUUUUUUCUUCUUCAAGUUUCACUUUUGUGAAAAAUUAAAAAAUAAAAACUUUCAACAACGGAUCUCUUGGUUCUC
rnacentral:misc_RNA from 1 species